GACGAACGCUGGCGGCGUGCUUAACACAUGCAAGUCGAACGGAAAGGCCCUGCUUUUGUGGGGUGCUCGAUUGGCGAACGGGUGAGUAACACGUGAGUAACCUGCCCUUGACUUUGGGAUAACUUCAGGGAACUGGGGCUAAUACCGGGUAUGAGCUCCUGCUGCAUGUGGGUGGUUGGAAAGUUUCGGCUGUGGGGGAUGGUUUGGCGGGUUAUCCGCUUGUUGGUGGGGUAGUGGUUUACCAAGGCUUUGACGGGUAGCCGGCCUGAGAGGGUGACCGCCCACAUUGGGCCUGAGAUACGGCCCAGACUCGUACCGGAGGCAGCAGUGGGGAAUAUUGCACAAUGGGCGGAAGCCUGAGGCAGCAACGCCGCGUGCGGGAUGACGGCCUUCGGGUUGUAAACCGAUUUCGACUGUGCCGAAGCGGGAGUGACGGUAAUGGGUAAAGAAGCACCGGCUAACUACGUG
rnacentral:rRNA from 1 species